rnacentral:rRNA from 1 species
CAAGGCGACGAUCCCUAGCUGGUCUGAGAGGAUGACCAGCCACACUGGAACUGAGACACGGUCCAGACUCCUACGGGAGGCAGCAGUGGGGAAUAUUGCACAAUGGGCGCAAGCCUGAUGCAGCCAUGCCGCGUGUAUGAAGAAGGCCUUCGGGUUGUAAAGUACUUUCAGCGGGGAGGAAGGGGAUAAGGCUAAUAACCUUGUUCAUUGACGUUACCCGCAGAAGAAGCACCGGCUAACUCCGUGCCAGCA